UAGAACAGAAUUGAGGGAUGAGAAGGUAGGGUUUUUAUUAUCUACGUAGUCCCAUCACUCAUUAGUGGAGAGUUGCUCCUGGAGUCUUAACUCCCUAGUGGUUUUCAUCUUCCAUGCUCUCUUCCCAGUGCACCCUAGGACCACAGAACACCCUCAGGCAGAGAGAAGCAGGCUGCCCUUGGCUGAACAGAAACCGUGAAGUAGGUAAUGAAGAUGCACAAGUUCGGGUCAAAUUCGCCCUCCGGAAAAACUGCAAAUUAAGAUGCUGUUGACGGAUACGCCGCAGGCUGUCUUAAGCGUCGUGAUCAAAAUCCAAAUAGGCCUCUCUUCACAUGGACUCUCAUCAUUCAGUAGCCCAGCCUGGACUUCCCCACAACAUGGCAGCUGGGGUCCAAGAGGGAAGAAGUGGAAGCUACUAGUCCUUUUAAGGCCUGUGCCACUGGAAGUCUCAAAAUGUCAUUCCCAUCUCAUUCUGUUGGUUAAAGCCAGUCACAAGCCUACAGGAGGCUUAGGUGACACACACCUCUACAUGCAGGAAUAGCGGUGUUUGUGACUGGAAUGGAUCACCCGGAAGGUGCCUGGAAGAAUUCCCCUUCUUAGACACCACUUCUCCAUGAUGUACUGUUCCCUUGUGUCAAGCAUUGCCCUCUUUGA